rnacentral:snRNA from 1 species
CGUUAGGGAGUCCGGAGA